rnacentral:rRNA from 1 species
AAAUUGAAGAGUUUGAUCAUGGCUCAGAUUGAACGCUGGCGGCAGGCCUAACACAUGCAAGUCGAACGGUAACAGGGAACAGCUUGCUGUUUCGCUGACGAGUGGCGGACGGGUGAGUAAUGUCUGGGAAACUGCCCGAUGGAGGGGGAUAACUACUGGAAACGGUAGCUAAUACCGCAUAACGUCGCAAGACCAAAGAGGGGGA